UGUAUCUCAGAGACAGGAAACACAACAUGAGAUAUCUGGAGCAGAACAGCUGAGUCACGAGGCAGAAAGGGAAGGAGAGCAGGGACUUUCCAGCUGCUGGAGAACGGGUUAGGCAGAAGCUGCUCGGCACAGAGAAACAUGCAAUGACCCAAAACAAACACCAUCAGUUUAUAACCAGGUGAGGAGCGACAGGUUCCUCAGUCAGGGUGCGGAGAGAGAGCUGAGUCACACGGAGAAACACACUUUCUGACAACGGACACGAGCACUUUGAUCACUCUCUACAGAUCACUCUCUCAAACCUCCAGUCUCCAUUUUGUGGAUUCAAACACCUGUUGACAAAAUGGCGAUGGAUUUGGUCGCUGUGUCACCCGAUGAUGACAUCAUGGUUUGGAUGUUUCCGGUUGCUGGUGAGAUGUGAGCCCGGAGACGCAGGAUGUGCCAAACCUCAUUUCCUGCUUCCUGUUAUCUCAGAAAUAAAAACAUAUUUAUGAGCAAUAUA